GCCUCCAUCACAAAGCGGACAUUAUAAUCUUUAUAAACCUCGAAUACGUAAUUUCUGAUUUCACGAUGAAAUCCUUGAUUUUAAUAUUUGCAAUUCUCUCAAUCGCUGUUCUGGUUUCGUCCACGGCGAUCCCUGAUGAAGGAAACAAUGUCCUUGUCGUGGGCAGUCCGGAGGAUUUGGAGGGCCUUUCGAGACAGCAACGCGGCAUCGGAGACUUUUUCAAGAAAAUAUUCGGUUUCUUCGGCAGAAAACGCUAACGAUUGAACCCAUCCCACUAAUUAAUUCAUUUACACUUUGAAAUUGAAAACGUUACACGGUUGUAAUCUAAUUGCAGUAAUUUUUAAUAAAUUUUGAAUGACAUCUCUGUAUUUCUUGCAUAAA